AUCUUCCGCAAUGGGCGAAAGCCUGACGGAGCAACGCCGCGUGAGUGAUGAAGGGUUUCGGCUCGUAAAAUUCUGUUAUUAGGGAAGAACAAAUGUGUAAGUAACUGUGCACAUCUUGACGGUACCUAAUCAGAAAGCCACGGCUAACCACGUGCCAGCAGCCGCGGUAAUACGUAGGUGGCAAGCGUUAUCCGGAAUUAUUGGGCGUUAAGCGCGCGUAGGCGGUUUCUUAAGUCUGAUGUGAAAGCCCACGGCUCAACCGUGGAGGGUCAUUGGAAACUGGGAAGCUUGAGUGCAGAAGAGGAAAGUGGAAUUCCAUGUGUAGCGGUGAAAUGAGCAGAGAUAAGGAGGAACACCAGUGGCGAAGGCGACUUUCUGGUCUGUAGCUGACGCUGAUGUGCGAAAGCGUGGGGAUCAAACA
rnacentral:rRNA from 1 species